rnacentral:lncRNA from 1 species
AUUAUUUUUUUCUUAUCCUCUCACGACACUGUACGAAAGUAUUAUAUCCACUGGUAAAGGCAGUUGUUCGCUCGAUCUCUCU